rnacentral:rRNA from 1 species
UACGUAGGGAGCAAGCGUUGUUCGGAUUUACUGGGCGUAAAGGGCGCGUAGGCGGCAUAUUAAGUCAUCUGUGAAAUCUCCGAGCUUAACUCGGAACUGUCAGCUGAUACUGAUGUGCUAGAGUGCGGAAGGGGCAAUCGGAAUUCUUGGUGUAGCGGUGAAAUGCGCAGAUAUCAGGAAGAACACCCGUGGCGAAGGCGGCUCUCUGGAACGCAACUGACGCUGAGACGCGAAAGCGUGGGGAGCAAACAGG